rnacentral:rRNA from 1 species
UACGUAGGGGGCAAGCGUUGUCCGGAAUCAUUGGGCGUAAAGAGCGUGUAGGCGGUUCGGUAAGUCGGCUGUGAAAGUCCAGGGCUCAACCCUGGGAUGCCGGUCGAUACUGCCGGACUAGAGUUCGGAAGAGGCGAGUGGAAUUCCCGGUGUAGCGGUGAGAUGCGCAGAUAUCGGGAGGAACACCUAUGGCGAAGGCAGCUCGCUGGGACGUUACUGACGCUGAGACGCGAAAGCGUGGGGAGCAAACAGG